UAUGUCUAUAGAUUGUAAAAGGACAUUUAUUCAGCAUUAAUAUCAUAUGAUGUAGAUCGUCAUCUUAGAAAUUAAAUAUCAAGAUUGGUUGUGGGGUUGAAUAUAUAAUGUAGAUUCGUUAAUAUAGGUGGGAUACCAAUUUUCAUGUAUUUAGAAGAAGAAAUAAUUACAGUUUUUUUACGUCAACAUUAGACAACACAUUAUUAAUUAAACUUUAAAUAUACAAUACAGGGGUCUAGAAUAACUAUCGUUGGUAGAGCUUGAUGCUAUAAGUUUCAAAAUCCAAAUUGAUGCACCAUGAAAAUUGGUCACACUAAAAUCAACCAUUUCAUCAGUGAAGCAGGGUAUCACGUCUUUGUGUUUUUAUAUAAUAUAUGUCCCUAUGGUAAAAGUCCAUAGCUCACAUUAUACUCAGCUUAAAUGUUGUUUCAUGUGCACUUGAAAUCCAAUUAUCAUGUAGGCAAUCAUGUGUGUAUUGAAUACUGUGGAUUCGUUACUAUUUGUUAGAUAUCAAUUUUUCAUGGUUACAUGAGAACUAGGUAUUUUAAUGUACAACGAAUUGCAAGCUAUUAAUAAAAAUGUAUGCAAACUAAAGCAAAACCACGAAACAAAUAUCCAAGAAAUGCAAGUUUUUCUAAAUCUAGGAAAAUUUGCCCCCACAAAAUAAUGAAUCCAUAGUAUGUUAUUUGUACUUGUUAAAUUCAAUGAAUUGUGGUAUUUAUUUUGAAAUGUUACACAUGUGAUUGUAUAGGAGUAUUUGAUUAUGAGUCAAGAGAGGUAAUUAAUAUUUACAUCCAUAAGUCAGAAUAAUAGGUUCUUUUUUUCUGUAGAUUUUCUUUUUUGCAGCAUUAAUUAAAGAAAUGUUAAAUGUAAUAUUCCAUCAAAUGUGUCAAUUCAUGUUUGUACUUGGACCUUUGGCCAUAUUAUUCA
rnacentral:lncRNA from 1 species